rnacentral:rRNA from 1 species
UAGGGAAUCUUCCGCAAUGGGCGAAAGCCUGACGGAGCAACGCCGCGUGAGUGAUGAAGGUCUUCGGAUCGUAAAACUCUGUUAUUAGGGAAGAACAAAUGUGUAAGUAACUAUGCACGUCUUGACGGUACCUAAUCAGAAAGCCACGGCUAACUACGUGCCAGCAGCCGCGGUAAUACGUAGGUGGCAAGCGUUAUCCGGAAUUAUUGGGCGUAAAGCGCGCGUAGGCGGUUUUUUAAGUCUGAUGUGAAAGCCCACGGCUCAACCGUGGAGGGUCAUUGCAAACUGGAAAACUUGAGUGCAGAAGAGGAAAGUGGAAUUCCAUGUGUAGCGGUGAAAUGCGCAGAGAUAUGGAGGAACACCAGUGGCGAAGGCGACUUUCUGGUCUGUAACUGACGCUGAUGUGCGAAAGCGUGGGGAUCAAACAGG